rnacentral:rRNA from 1 species
UACGUAGGGUCCGAGCGUUGUCCGGAAUUACUGGGCGUAAAGAGCUCGUAGGUGGUUUGUCGCGUUGUUCGUGAAAACUCACAGCUCAACUGUGGGCGUGCGGGCGAUACGGGCAGACUAGAGUACUGCAGGGGAGACUGGAAUUCCUGGUGUAGCGGUGGAAUGCGCAGAUAUCAGGAGGAACACCGGUGGCGAAGGCGGGUCUCUGGGCCGAUAUUGACGCUGGAGGAGCGAAAGCGUGGGGGAGCGAACAGG